UGGGUGCGUAAUUCAGUGGUAGAAUAACCGCCUUUUAAGCGGUAAGUCGUGAGUUCGAGCCUCAUCGCACCCAU
rnacentral:tRNA from 1 species